rnacentral:tRNA from 1 species
GCGCCCAUAGCUCAGUUGGAUAGAGUGACGGACUACGAAUCCGUAGGUCGAGUGUUCGAAUCACUCUGGGCGCACCA